GGGUAGUUUGACUGGGGCGGUCUCCUCCUAAAGAGUAACGGAGGAGCACGAAGGUUGGCUAAUCCUGGUCGGACAUCAGGAGGUUAGUGCAAUGGCAUAAGCCAGCUUGACUGCGAGCGUGACGGCGCGAGCAGGUGCGAAAGCAGGUCAUAGUGAUCCGGUGGUUCUGAAUGGAAGGGCCAUCGCUCAACGGAUAAAAGGUACUCCGGGGAUAACAGGCUGAUACCGCCCAAGAGUUCAUAUCGACGGCGGUGUUUGGCACCUCGAUGUCGGCUCAUCACAUCCUGGGGCUGAAGUAGGUCCCAAGGGUAUGGCUGUUCGCCAUUUAAAGUGGUACGCGAGCUGGGUUUAGAACGUCGUGAGACAGUUCGGUCCCUAUCUGCCGUGGGCGCUGGAGAACUGAGGGGGGCUGCUCCUAGUACGAGAGGACCGGAGUGGACGCAUCACUGGUGUUCGGGUUGUCAUGCCAAUGGCACUGCCCGGUAGCUAAAUGCGGAAGAGAUAAGUGCUGAAAGCAUCUAAGCACGAAACUUGCCCCGAGAUGAGUUCUCCCUGACUCCUUGAGAGUCCUGAAGGAACGUUGAAGACGACGACGUUGAUAGGCCGGGUGUGUAAGCGCAGCGAUGCGUUGAGCUAACCGGUACUAAUGAACCGUGAGGCUUAACCU
rnacentral:rRNA from 1 species